UAACAGUCUUAUGGGACCACUGUAGUAUAUGGUGUAAACCAAAAACAAAAUUCUAAGCUGCUCAGCCUACUGAAUGGAUUCUUCCUCUCAGGAUUCCAGGAAAACCUGAAAAAUUAGUUCAGGCCGUGAUGGGAAGGGGGAGUCAGACAUGUCUCAUUAGAUUCUCUUCUUUUUGGAAUUGAGGCACAACUGACCAGCAUUAACAUUAAGACAGAGGUCUUAAGACUGGCAAAACAGACUCUGCAGUGUGAAAGGAAAUAAGAUACCAAAUUCCAACCUCGCUUUAACAUAGCAUCACAUGGCAGAUAGCAGGCCCUGAAAGAAGUAUUUUACCCUAAUAUGUAUUUCUUUACAUAUUUUGAAAUAGCUGUGCAAAGCUGUCUCUUGUGGCGAAAAUUUACGUUCUGCAGAGAAUCUCUUUCCCUUUCCAGGUCUUUUUCUGACCCUGAAGAGUAACUUAAAUGUAUUACCUCUAAGGGUGCCACCUAUAAGACUUCAUCUGCAUAGUAAGAACCUUGGUCUCCACAACUCCUUAUCUUAACCCAGACACUCCUUUCUACUGAUUCUAGGUCUUGAGAUAAUAACUUAAUUCAUUCAACCAGUUACGAGUCGGGAACAUCUUUGAAUCUGCCUGUGACUUAUAAGCUGUCCCUCUUUCCUCUCAUCUCUCUUUUGAGUUGUCCCAGCUUUCUGGACCAAACCUAUAUAUUCCUCACAUGUAUUGAGUGAUGUCUUAUGUCUCCCUAAAACAUAUAAAAUCAAGCUUAACCCGAUCACCUUGGGCACAUAUUCUGAGGACCCCUUGAGGCCUUGUCAUGGGUCAUGGUCCUUAUAUUUGGCUCAGAAUAAAUCUCUUAAGAGUAUUUUACAAUUUGGCUUUUUAGUCAGCAGUGGGUAUAUGUGGUCUCUUGUUGACUAACAUGUUGUUAGGUAGUACAUGACUGUAGUUACUUUUUCUUUACUAGUCUCCACUUUAUUUAAGCAUUUUAAUUUAAAACUUGUUAAUUAAGGGUACUUUCUUGAAGGAAUGAUCAAAUUAUUGUGCCAUGUCUCUGUUAAAUAUUUUGGAGCAUUAUGCCAUGUGUUUUGAAUAUUUAUUCCUUUAAGUGUGCUAGUGAGAGAGCAAAGAACUUGCCGAUCAAACAUAAAUUUCUGCUGUUUACCUUUAUGUGUUUUUCUUUCUUUGCUAGGAAUAGAAAAUGAUGAGGUUUUGCUGUAAGGCGCUAUGGCAAGAGACAUUAUAUAAAUAUUUAUAAAAUGGAUGAUUACAAAAAAAGGGGAUUAAAACAAGACAGGAGCUUAGUGGGCAUUUUGUGUUAAGAUAAAUAUCAAAUUUUUGAAAUUAAUCUCUUGAGGCAGAGGUGGGCUGAUGAUUCUCCUUGCCAGGUAGCAGAAUCUAUUGGUAUUUCUAUUCCUGUUUUUGAUUUGAGAUUAAACUAACAGACUGUAUUCCUUAGUUGCUGAUACCUUUCAUGUUCAUAUGCUGAUAAAAACCCGGACCUCUGUCCAGACCCUGGUCAUUUCGUGAAACCCACCUUCCUAAUCUUUGUUUUAAUUUCUUCCCUCUCUAGUAAUUUUUAUCUGCUCACCACCUUCUGAAUAUUGCCUUGGGCAUGCUUGUUUCUAAGCUUUUGAUCACUUCUUUUCUCUCUAGAGUGCACUUCUAUGAAUCUCCAUUCUUUCUGUAAAGUCCUUCCCCUGGAUUGUAUCCCCGAGGUGUUUCCUUCCUCUGAACUCCUACAUUAUGACUAUUUCACUUGUAGUGUAGCCCCUCCUAGUGUCAGUACCAGCCUGACGUUCAUGUUUAAAGUCGUAGAGGGCAGUUGCCAUGUCUCGUGGUACACUUCUCUCCUCUUCCUCGCCCUUUCUAUUUUCUCUGGUGCCAUUUGGUAUCCAGUAAGUGUAUAUUGGCUGAUAAUGUUAUUUUGAAACAUAUCUAUGGAACUGGUGAUUUUCUGUUAUUACCUUUCAGGAGGGCCUCUGGGAGCCAGUUCUCUGUUCUCCUUUGUAUUUUUCUACCUUCACUUGCCCAUUGGAUGUAUAAUUAGAAAUUUUAUAUUGAGAGCUACUGUAGACUGAAUUAUUCCCCACCUCCUAAUUCAUAUGUUGAAGUCCUAACUUCCAAUGUGACGGUAUGUAGAAUUGGGGCCUUGGAGGGUAAUUAAAUUUAAAUGAGGGCCAGGCAUGGUAUAAACUCAGGAGGCUAAGGUGGGGGAUCACUUGAGCCCAGGAGUUCCAGGCUGCAGUGAGUUAUGAUUGUGCCACUGCACUCUCUAGCCUGGGUGGCAGAGCAAGACUCUGACUUUUAGAAACAAAAUCAAGUUAAAAGCAAUUUAGAUGAGAUCGUGAGGGUGGAGUCCUCAAGAUGAGAUUAGUGACCACGUAAGAAGAGACAAGAGAGAUCUUCCCUUCCUCCCUUGUUCCUGCUGGCCAUGUGAGGACACGGCAAGAAGGUUGUCUGCAAGCCAGGAAGAGAACCCUCACCAGAACCUGACCAUGCUGGCAGAUUGAGGCCCUCCAGCCUCUAAAACUAGGAGAAUCUCUGUUGUUUAAGCUACUCAGUCUAUGAUAUUUUGUUAUGGCAGUUCAAGCUAAUAAAGAUCAGAGUCAUAAAUCUUACUUUAGAAAGUAACUCCUAUUUUCAGCAGUAUUAAGUUUUUAAUAUAUACUCAUACCUUUUAAACUUGCUUUGGGGAAUGUAUAAAGUCAUCAAAGUUUAGAAACUAAAGAGACUUUAAAAGAUCAUUCCAGGUGUAAAAGGUACCAAGGAAGGAAGUGUGUUGUAAAUCGGGUUUGAGCUGUUCUAGUUAUGUAUUCAGUGCCCACUACUCUUCUACCCUCUCCUGCUGGUGCAUUCAAGACCUCCCUUGUGUAGCGAGACAUUCUUACUAGGGCACUUCCCUAACUUAACCUAAGUUUCAAAGCAUGUUUUUCUGACUGGUUCCUCAUCUGUGAGUAAUAAUGGUUUCAUUUUUCUCCCUGGACUUUGGAACUUGACCAUCUUUUGGACUGUACUCCUGACCUUUUGUUGCUUUCUUCGGCUUAGAGAAUUUAUUUCUAAUAUAAAUCAGCUCCUCUUUUCUCUUUCCUUUGGAUUGAUAUAUGAGUGUUUAGAGGAUCACCCAUCUCUCUUCGUGUUUCAGCCAAAGAAACCAUCAUCUUCCUUCUCUCCUCUCUCUUUGACAAUAUAAUCCUGAAGAUUCAGUGUUCCUUUAAGCUACUUAAAUUGCAUUUUUAGUGUUUACAACACCUUUUUUAUCCUUUACAUGGCUUAACCAUCUCCUCCUUUGUAUUACCUCCACUUUCCUUUUUUUUUUAACCUCCACUUCUUGAACAUAUGGUACUUCUGUCACAGUUAUUUGCCUCAACAUUAUUUUCCCCAUAGAAUGCUAAUUUCCUGAGGACAGUUUGUGUAUUUUUUCUCUGCAUUCUCAGUGCUCAACAUAAAAGUUGGUGAACUGAUAAAAAUGAGAAAUUGAUGAAAGUUGGCUGAACUAAUCCAUAGUUCCAAAUCUGCAAAGUUCCACAUAUUUAGAGUAUUUUCCAGAUAAUCAAGGUUUUUUAUAACUUCCUCUCCCACAACAGGAUUUUGUGUGUACAUUAUAGGAAAUUGUGUGGCCAUGACAAUCUCUUUUACAGUUUAUAUAGAUGCCAUACAUUCAUUAUUCUCCUAAACUGCCUGACAUGUUUUGGCCUUAUUCAUAAUGUGGCCAGUGUGAUGUUGGGGUGACUAUUCAUUGAAAGACUAUUUGGAGCAAAUCUGUAAACUUAAGCUGUGUAUCCUUGAACAAAGAAGCCCUUCUCCACUCUUGGUCUAAUUGUACUUGCUUAUCCACCUUAAGCAAAUACUCUCUGUAGUAUGCUGUUCUAGAUGUGGCAUCGUUAAUUGGGAAGCAGGGCAUGUAUCUUUUGAUAUGAUCAAAGUGGUUCAUUGUUGGCUCAAAUGUGCCAGUGCCUGUGAUACUUGUUUAAGACUGAUUGACAGGUCUCAGAUUCUUGUGUGUUUAAAGAACUUGUUUUCUAUAUUGGAACUCCAUAUUUUCAGUGAUAAGAGAUGUGUCAAAUGAAUUGAGAAUUCCUUAAAUGGAAAUCAUUCCAACUUCUGAUAAAUGAUGCCAAGGCAAGUCAUAUUUCCAAUUUUCUGCAUUAAAAAAUAAUCUCAAGUUUAUAGGUUAAGUAUUUAUAGAUAGCCCAAUAGCUUUGAUGGCUUCUACGCACCAAAGUGGCUAAGAAAACAUAGUCAGAAUUCAGGAUGCUGCUGUCUUUUAAAGUGUCAUACUUACAGAAUGUUUAAUAUCUGACCCUUUAGUGGUAACUGCAUUUGGGCAAAUGUCCCUUAAAUAGCUAAAACUGAAAAUAUUCCUUCACUGAAUGAAAUUACCCUGGUAUGUCAUAUAUUUCAAAGUCAGGGUUGAAGUAAUUUUAACUUUUUGGAACAUGACUCUGAACUGGGUAGCAGACUGGGGCUUAGUUGUUUGAAGCCUUUGGAUUUCAUUCUUCAGUAGAGGGUACUCUCAGUUCUGGUGGUUCUUUCUUUGGGGUUCAAUGCCAUUAUUGCAAAGUAAGAGCUUUAAAAGGAUUAUGAACAAGCUGGAAACCUAGGGAAGGAAUCUCCACUUUUGCAAAUGGGAGAUGGAGAACUUGAAGAAAGUGAAAUUUGAGGUGAAUCUGGAAAGAUGAAUGUGCAUUUUCCAGGUUGUUAGAGUGGCGUCAAGACAAAGGGAUGCAUUCUUAUGAAACAGGGAAUCACCAAAGGGUGAGGAAUGUUUGCCAUGGACUUUUUAUCUUCAUAUAUAUUGUGUUAAUUAUCUAGUAGCAUCUUGAGAAUAGGGGCGUUGAGAGGAAAGAAUGGAUGUGAGAUGCAAUAGGAGCAAAUUAUUUGGCAGGUUUAGCCAAAGGACCAAAGGAAAAAGAAUGGAAUGUUUUCAGGGGAGUGUCUUUGUGGUCACCAACUUUGGAGUUCAGAGAGUUUAGGGAACUAAGUGAGCCAGAAGGAUUAUGGUAAAUCGGAUGUCAUGGACCAGAAGGCAGGGGCUUUGUAUAUAAAUAGGUAUGAGUGUCUAUGUGUAUAGUUUAACAACAAAUAAUUUAUACCUUGAGUUUGUUUUGUUAAUAAUAGACUUCUUAGCCUCUGGGAACCAUGCCAAGGUAUAUUUCAAAAUGAGCUUUCUUAAACAAGCUCUGUUUUUCUGUUUGAGUGGCUUUGUUUUAUUCACUGUGUCUAGAACUUAUUUAUUUGGCUGUAAUUCCUAAUGUUUUUCAUUUAAUAGGAUCAUGAUAUAUUAGGAUAGAUGAACACUUAAAGGAUAUUUUUCAUCCAUCCACUCAAGACAUGAAAUUCUUGUUACCCACACAACAGGUUGGUUUGAUUGCUGGACUAGGUAUCAACCCAAUGACGAGAACCAAGGAAAUACAGUAAGAUUUAGUAUUUAAUAAAGAGAGUUUAUUACUCAUAACAAGUAAGAAGAACACCAGGGAUAGUUCUCAAGGCAGUGUCUCCCGGAGCUGGGGGUGGGUCAGGUUUCAUAAGCAUCGGAUAAUGAGUUGUGAUCUGAUUGGAUCUUGUAAUGAUGUGAUGCCGGGAGGCCUGAUCUGACUGGAUCCUGCUGUAGAAUGAUGCUAGAGCUCCACCUGAUUGGAUCCUGGAUUCUGUUGUGUGGUGUUCACUUCUUAGUUCAUUCCCGGCUUUUAGGUUUCCCCUGUGGUUGCAUGCUUGGUUCAUUUGGACAUGCCCAGGUUACGUGACCUGAGGGUCCAUGGCAACUGAAAACAGACAACUUCGUUACCCAGAAGUUGAACCAUAUUGCUCUGGUGCGGAUGUACUUCCACAGCAUUCCUGUUAUUUGGCUGUCCAGUCUUUUAUACUUCUAGUAAGAAGAAUUUUAUUACUUCCGUGGACACCUAUUAAAUCUUAACAUUUUAGUUCUUUGUUUAAUUUAUAGCAAGGAAAAAAUCAUAUUAAAACUAAUUAAAAUGGAAUAAUGCCUACCACUAAAUAUACCUUUACAAUGGCUAAAAUUACAAAGACUAAUCAUACAAAGUAUUGGUGAGGAUGUGGAGGAACUAGAACUCUCGUACACUGCUGGUGGAUGUGCGAUAGUGUAACCACUUUGGAAAACAGUUUGGCAAAAUUUUAAAACAUUAAACAUACGCCUAUCAUACAGUCCAGCCUUUCCAAACUUAGGGAAUGAAAAAAUAUGCUCCUACAAAGAUUUCUACGUGAAUAUUCAUAUCAGUUUUACUUGUAAUAGUCCCAAACUGGAAACAAUCUGUAUGUCAAUUUGCAGGUGAAUGGAUAGACAAAUGUGGUAUAUCCAAACAAUGACCAUUCAACUCAUCAAUAAAACGGAAUGAACUAUUGAUAUGUGCUAAGCAUGGGUGAAUCUCAGCUCUAUCAUGUUAAGUAAAAGAAGGCAGACUCAAAAGGCUACAUGUUAUAACAUUUGCAUUUGUAUAACAUUCUAGAAAAUGCAAACAAAUCUGUAGUCACAGAAAGCAGAUCAGUAGUUGCCUGGAGUUUCAUCUCAAAGGAAAAGAACUAAAUGCCCUGCGGGGUAGCCUAAAAAUCUGAUUUCAUUUUACUGAUGUGGAAAGAAAAUUAAUAUAUUAGGGCACUUUUCAUUGCUUAGUGGCCAAAAUGUCUGUGAGUCCUACUCUAAUCAUAUAGAAGCAGUUUCUUACAGAAAAAAAAGCAAGUUUGUUAUGCUUUAAGUUGUUCAGGAACCAACUUUUCAGUGUCCUGUACACAUAGUGAGUGAUGCUAAAUAUUUGGGUGGGGUGGGGUGGGGAUCUUGUGACUGACUCUUUCCUUUGAAUAAAUUUUAUGAGGUUAAAUCACCUGGACAGAUGCUAUAAACAUUUUCAGGGUUCUAUUGCAGAUUGCUACAUUUUCCUGCAAUUAGGUUAUACCGAAAUAUGUUUUCACCAACACUCUGAGAGUUUAUCAGUAUAUCUCAUCACCAACAUUGGCUGUUAUUAUUUGAAAAUUAAUUGUCACUUAGAUUUCUAGAAAAUGGGAAUUUUUCAGUUUAGUUUGUAUUUUCUGGUUACUAAUGAGACUGUUUACUCUUGAGAGUUGUUUAUGUACUUUGCCAGUAUAUGUGUAAAGUUCUAAAUUGAUUUAUAAUAAAAAAGUUCAUUGUUUACAAGCAGAAAUAACAUUGAUCGAGCUGGCUCAUGUGAUGGUUCAAAAUCAGAAGAAUUAAGUUGCUAGCAAGUCAAAUUUAACAUUUACUAGUCUUGGUAUUAUUAUUAUUAUUAUUAUUAUUAUUAUUAUUAUUAUUAUUUUAAAAGACAGGGUUUCACCAUGUUGGUCAGGCUGGUCUUGAACUCCCGACCUCAGGUGAUCGCCCUCCUUGGCCUUCAAAGUGCUUGGAUUACAGGCGUGAGCCACCACACCCGGCCUAGUCUUGGUUUUAUUAAAUAAAAUACCUAUGAUUUACUUUUAGGAAAACAUUCACUUUCACACUAAAUUAAUAUUUUAAAUCUGAACUUUUUUUCAUUUGCUUGUGCAGUUGAUUCUUUAAGUUCUUUAAAAGCUUAAUUAGAAGGUGUUGGUACCAAGUUUUAAGAGUAUAUAUAGUUUUGUUAAAAUGUUACCUACAUAAGGAACUCUUACAGAUCCGUAAGGAAAACCCAAGCAACUCAGAAUGAAAUUGGGCAAAGACAUGAACAGGCGGUUCUCAGAAGAAUACCAAAUGCCCAGUAGCCAUGUGAAGAGAUCCAAUAGUAAUCACAGAAAUUAGGGAAAUGUGAAGUAAGACAAUAUGGUAUAAUUCUAUACCUAUCAAGUUGGCACAACAUUUAAAAAUGUGAUCAAUACCACAUUCUGGUGCUGGGCCAGGGAAUUGGAAGCUCUCCUCCAGGGUGGAAGGCAUAGGAAGUCAGGACACGACUUCUUAUUUGAAGAGUCACAAAUGUCUGCCAGUAUGUGGGCUUAUCUUUCAGUUUCUCAUUUAUGGUGUUUUAGGUUCAGAAAUUUUUUAUUUUAAUUCAGUAAAUAUGUAUCAAUCUUCUCAUGUAUAAUUUGUGGUUUUUGUGUCUUCUAAGAGAAAUUGUAUUUUGCUCCUACAAAGUUGUAAAGAUAUGAUAUGGAAGAGAGGCAAGGAAAUACUGGGAAAGGAAGGUUAUGGUCCCUGGCUAGGGCUCCACCCCUGGGCCUGUACCUAAGAAUCUAGGUGAGGACAGGAAUUUCUGUUUUCCUGCCCAAAAGUUGACUUUCCCGAGACCACCCUGAUGCCAUACCCCCAUCCUAUGCCUGUAAAAACCCUGAGACCUUAGCGUGCGGAGACACAAGCAACUGGACGUCAAGAGGAGCACAUCAGCAGAAGAAUACACAACUGAGAGGUCGAGAGGAGCACAUCGGUUGAAGAGCACGCCACCAGGCACCACAGACACCAGCCUGCUGGCAGGCCAUUGACCAGCAGAACAACUCAGAGUUUGGCCUGGGAGGUUGGAGGAGAGCCCAGGCUGCUGAGCGGCCAAACUCCAGAGGAAAACCGUCUCCCUUCUGGCUCCCCUAUCUGCUGGAGUUACUUCCACUCAAUAAAACCUUGCACCCAUUCCCCAAGCCCAAGUGUGAUCUGAUUCUUCUGAUGCAUGAAGGCCAGAAACCCCAGAAUACAGAAAGCCCUUUAUCCUUGCGAUAAAGCAGGGGGUCUGAUUGAGCUGACUAACAAGCCACCUACUAAUGGCUAAACUGAAAAAAGAGCAUCCUGUAACACACGCCCACUGAGACUUCACAAGCUGUAAACAUUCACCUCUAGAUCCUGCCGUGGGUUUGGGAGCACCAUGGCCUGCUGUAGGGGUUUGAGCAACGGGCCACCAAGGAAGUGAGACACACCCCCAUCACAUGCCCUGUGUAGGGGAUAAGGGAACUUUUCCCAUUUCAGUAUUCUCUGUAUUUCCUUCUAAAGUUUUAAAGUUUUGCUUUUUACAUUGCCUUCACUUUUCCUCAAGAAAAAAAAUUCUCACUGCAUUGUGAGAAGAAUUUAUUCCUUGAUAUUGUGACAGAUACUGAAGUUCCUAUCUUGCCAGGAAAAAAGUUACACAAAAAUGAGUCCCCUGAACCUACUAAUUUCCCAUUUUCUUUUCUUAGCUCCUGUCCAGCCCUUGAAUCUGUUGCAUGAGUGGAAUCUACUAUCCUAGAUUGGAUGUAGAAAGAGCAGUGGCAAUGGAAUGAUUAGAGAAGAAGCGCUGGCCGGGCUGUGAUGUCCAGCAGAGGGAUGGCUGGCAGGUUCUGGAGGUGGCAGCACUGCAUGCAGGCUCGGGGUCAGAUGCCAGCCAGCCAGUCCUUGCCCCAUGUUCAUUAGCUUGGCAUGUUACCUGAACUCUUUUUUGCUUUCUUCAUCUAUAAAGUGUGGGUCAUAGUCACACUUCUGAUUUACAUGAUGGUUUUGAGAAUUAUGUGAACUAACACAUGUAACACAUGUAACAUAUGUAACACAAGACUUAGUAGACAUUAGUUGUUAUCAGAAGGUGGCUCAAGCUAAGAGUCCAAUUGCACACGUUUACUACACUUCCUGAAGGACUAUUAUUUUUGAAUUUAUUCAUAAGGGCUUUAAUACUGUUCAGUUGUAUAUGGGGUAGGCAAACCGAAAGGGAUGUAGGGGAGAAAGAAGGAAAAACGAAGGGCAGGGG